rnacentral:rRNA from 1 species
AGUGAACGCUGGCGGUAGGCCUAACACAUGCAAGUCGAACGGCAGCACAGUAAGAGCUUGCUCUUACGGGUGGCGAGUGGCGGACGGGUGAGGAAUACAUCGGAAUCUACUCUUUCGUGGGGGAUAACGUAGGGAAACUUACGAUAAUACCGCAUACGACCUACGGGUGAAAGCAGGGGAUCUUCGGACCUUGCGCGAUUGAAUGAGCCGAUGUCGGAUUAGCUAGUUGGCGGGGUAAAGGCCCACCAAGGCGACGAUCCGUAGCUGGUCUGAGAGGAUGGUCGGCCACCCUGGAGCUGAGACACGGUCCAGACUCCUGCGGGAGGCAGCAGUGGGGAAUAUUGGACAAUGGGCGCAAGCCUUAUCCAGCCAUACCGCGUGUGUGAAGAAGGCCUUCGGGUUGUAAAGCCCUUUUGUUGGGAAAGAAAAGCAGCAGGUUAAUACCCCGCUGUUCUGACGGUACCCAAAGAAUAAGCACCGGCUAACUUCGUG